rnacentral:rRNA from 1 species
AACGUAGGGGGCGAGCGUUGUCCGGAAUUACUGGGCGUAAAGGGCGCGUAGGCGGUCAUUUAAGUCAGAGGUGAAAACUACCGGCUCAACCGGUAGCCUGCCUUUGAAACUGGAUGACUUGAGGGCAGGAGAGGGGAGUGGAAUUCCCAGUGUAGCGGUGAAAUGCGUAGAUAUUGGGAGGAACACCAGUGGCGAAGGCGGCUCUCUGGCCUGUUUCUGACGCUGAGGCGCGAAAGCGUGGGGAGCGAACGGGAUUAGAUACCCCGGUAGUCCACGCCGUAAACGAUGGGUGCUAGGUGUAGGAGGUAUCGACCCCUUCUGUGCCGUAGUUAACACAAUAAGCACCCCGCCUGGGGAGUACGGCCGCAAGGUUGAA